UUCUGAGGACCAACCCUUGUAGCAUGGGUCAAAAGGAGAAGUGACAGGUCUGGAAGCCACCAAAAUUUGCUGUACUCAGUAGUGGAGAAACAACUUCCAAGGAUGCAGAGCAGAAGAGUGUUCAGCUGAAGAGAACAACAAAACCCUUCAGAGCCCUGGCCAGUUUGAAUGUCCUGGCUCCCCUUGCUAGAGAGGUGUGAAGAGCUCUGCCCUGGUUACAGAAAUUGAAGCUUUUGAAGAAGACAGAUGCUACCUUUCUCAUUUGCCUCUGGGCUCUUAAUUUUCA